rnacentral:rRNA from 1 species
UCCCCAGACUCCUACGGGAGGCAGCAGUGGGGAAUAUUGCACAAUGGGGGGAACCCUGAUGCAGCGACGCCGCGUGGGUGAAGGAGCACCUCGGUGCGUAAAGCCCUAUCGGCAGGGAAGAAACAGACGGUACCUGACUAAGAAGCCCCGGCUAACUACGUGCCAGCAGCCGCGGGAAUACGUAGGGGGCAAGCGUUAUCCGGAUUUACUGGGUGUAAAGGGAGCGUAGACGGCGAUGCAAGCCAGAUGUGAAAGCCCGGGGCUCAACCCCGGGACUGCAUUUGGAACUGUGUGGCUGGAGUGUCGGAGAGGCAGGCGGAAUUCCUAGUGUAGCGGUGAAAUGCGUAGAUAUUAGGAGGAACACCAGUGGCGAAGGCGGCCUGCUGGACGAUGACUGACGUUGAGGCUCGAAAGCGUGGGGAGCAAACAGGAUUAGAUACCCCUGUA